rnacentral:rRNA from 1 species
UAAUGUAUGGGGAUCUGCCCGAUAGGGGGGGAUAACUACUGGAAACGGUGGCUAAUACCGCAUAAUGUCUACGGACCAAAGCAGGGGCUCUUCGGACCUUGCACUAUCGGAUGAACCCAUAUGGGAUUAGCUAGUAGGUGGGGUAAAGGCUCACCUAGGCGACGAUCUCUAGCUGGUCUGAGAGGAUGAUCAGCCACACUGGGACUGAGACACGGCCCAG